UACGAAGGGGGCUAGCGUUGCUCGGAAUUACUGGGCGUAAAGGGCGCGUAGGCGGUUCUAUAAGUCAGGCGUGAAAUUCCUGGGCUUAACCUGGGGGCUGCGCUUGAGACUGUGGGACUUGAGGUCAGAAGAGGGUCGUGGAAUUCCCAGUGUAGAGGUGAAAUUCGUAGAUAUUGGGAAGAACACCGGGUGGCGAAGGCGGCGACCUGGUCUGAUACUGACGCUGAGGAGCGAAAGCGUGGGGAGCAAACAGG
rnacentral:rRNA from 1 species